rnacentral:rRNA from 1 species
UACGAAGGGGGCUAGCGUUGUUCGGAAUUACUGGGCGUAAAGCGCGCGCAGGCGGUUCUUCAAGUCAGUGGUGAAAGCCCGGAGCUCAACUCCGGAAUUGCCAUUGAAACUGUAGAACUUGAGGAUGAGAGAGGUGAGUGGAAUUCCCAGUGUAGAGGUGAAAUUCGUAGAUAUUGGGAAGAACACCAGUGGCGAAGGCGACUUACUGGACACAUAUUGACGCUGAGGUGCGAAAGCGUGGGGAGCAAACAGG